rnacentral:rRNA from 1 species
AGAGUUUGAUCCUGGCUCAGGAUGAACGCUAGCGACAGGCCUAACACAUGCAAGUCGAGGGGCAGCACGGUGUAGCAAUACACGGGUGGCGACCGGCGCACGGGUGAGUAACGCGUAUGCAACCUGCCUACUACAAGGGGAUAACCCGUUGAAAGACGGACUAAUACCCUAUAACACAGGGAAUCCGCAUGGAUAUAUUUGUUAAAGAUUUAUCGGUAGUAGAUGGGCAUGCGUUCCAUUAGCUUGUUGGUGAGGUAACGGCUCACCAAGGCAACGAUGGAUAGGGGAACUGAGAGGUUGAUCCCCCACACUGGAACUGAGACACGGUCCAGACUCCUACGGGAGGCAGCAGUGAGGAAUAUUGGUCAAUGGACGAGAGUCUGAACCAGCCAAGUCGCGUGAAGGAAGACGGCCCUAAGGGUUGUAAACUUCUUUUGUAGAGGAAUAAAGUGUUCUACGUGUAGGAUAUUGCAAGUACUUUACGAAUAAGGAUCGGCUAACUCCGUGCCAGCAGCCGCGGUAA